CGGCGGACGGGUGAGUAACACGUGGAUAACCUACCUAUAAGACUGGGAUAACUUAGGGAAACCGGAGCUAAUACCGGAUAAUAUAUUGAACCGCAUGGUUCAAUGGUGAAAGACGGUUUUGCUGUCACUUAUAGAUGGAUCCGCGCCGCAUUAGCUAGUUGGUAAGGUAACGGCUUACCAAGGCAACGAUGCGUAGCCGACCUGAGAGGGUGAUCGGCCACACUGGAACUGAGACACGGUCCAGACUCCUACGGGAGGCAGCAGCU
rnacentral:rRNA from 1 species